CCCAACACUAAGUUAGAGAGAAACCCACUUUAAAAGAAUGAGCUGAAGAUGGUCAGGGCUGGGGCUGGGGUAGAACUCAAAAGGAGGCUCGAAAAACUGUCUGGUGAACAGAAAAGAUUGCACACAGAGAAAUCAGAGAAAGAAAAUCACUUGACCUUGACAGGGUGUAGCGUAAGCCAGAGGGAUGCUGGGACCCAGAGCCGGCCUCUGGCACUCCUACUGGGCAGGGCUCAUGCUGGCCAGGGCUACACUGACCCAGGCAGAAGUGGGGCUUUCUCUGCCUUCCAAGGUAGGUUCAGGUCCAGGGUCAAAAAAGGGCUUGCCAAGUUCCUCUGCAAGCUUCAUUCUGAACUUCCAGUGUUUUUCUGACAGGAAGAGUAAUAAGAUAUGGGUAAGACAAAGCCCUGUCUGCUGGAGCUCUAGCAGCAGAAUUAAGAAAAGAAUUAGUUGGGGUUUUAAUUCGCACUCUUGCUGGGAACACUACCUUAGGAGGAAAAAGGUCUUCAUAAAGGAAAGGAAAACCUGUAAUCCCAGUGCUUUGGGAGGCCAAUUUAGUUUCAUUCUUCUGAAUCAAUGUCACUCAGCUUCAGUAACACGUAGGAUCACUGGCUAGUUUUGAUCUGAGACUUUUA
ensembl:lncRNA LATS2-AS1 LATS2 antisense RNA 1